CCGUGCGGGUAAAGAUGAAACAAUAUCCAAAGCUUGUAUCGAAUUGUUAUCAUGGCGAACAUGGUAAAUCUUGGAGCUUGUUUUAUGUUUAGUUCUGGACUGUUCAUCGAUGCCGGGGCCCCUCCUGAGUUCUCAGGAGUAUCGAAGCUGCUUAGGCUUAUUGAACACGUGGAUUCGAAUGUCAUUGGGAAGGCGCGACGCAGGGUCCCAGCGCUGCAGCCGAUUGUGACCGUGGCAGAGCAACAAGACCUCCCGCCAGGCUCCGUCCCUCCCCACCGGCUCCACAUCACGCUAAGCACGCGUCCUAUCUCUCAGCCAUCUAGUGCCGGGCGACUGCGAACAGGUGGAGGGGAUUAACUGCGGAUCAAAGGCAUCGUGCCUUCCAAACCCGUGUGUAUAACCUCGGAUGUCACUUACGCAGAAGCCUCCUUCACGGCACGGCUUUCGCCAAAUGCACGACAAGCCUCACGUCUUUUUGAGCGAGCGCAAGGGACGGUGGGUACCUACUAACCUUGCUGGUCGUGCCGUCCCAUCUUCCAUCCGCUCGCAUCCACUGGGCCCUGCACUGUCGGAGACUUAUCCUACCAGCACGCCUAUCACGAGACCACUCACCACGUAAGGUAAGAGGGCGUCAAACCCCCUCUCUCUUCUCUCCGAUCCGCCGCUGCCGCCACCCCAGGCAUCCGUGGCCACUGGUCGAGCUCGGAUACGUGUGGAUGCCGAAACGGAAGAUGGCUCCUGCGGCUGCUCUCUGGAGGCCAGCACGGCGCUUACACCAGGCCAGUCCACGCCCUUGC
rnacentral:lncRNA from 1 species